CUAACCAACCGAACCCAUUAAGACCGAACAAAUCUCUAUUGUCUGAAACGCUUUUUUUAUCCUUCUCAUGCUUCCUCUCUCUGGAUCUUCUCCUUCUCCUUCUCCUUCUCCUUCUCCUUCUCUAUCUAGGUUUUGGUCCUCAUUAGGGUUUCCUCUCUCUCUCUCUUUCCUUCGCCUUUCUCUAGGAAGAAUCAAUCCUCGGAAGAAGCGCAACCGAAGAAUUAAGAAUCAUAAGCAAUGGUGGAACGAGGAGCGCUCUUCAAUCGAUUACCGGAAGAACUAACCGAGAGAAUCCUCGCCUACCUCCCGAUCUCCACUAUCUUCCGCUGCCGCUGCGUCUGCAAGCACUGGAACAAACUCCUCACUACCAAUUCCUUCCUUGAAUCCUGGGGUGAAUUCUCCCCCAAAGACGUCUGGUUCCUUGUCUACCACACGAGACGAACCGUCGCCGCCUACAGCCCUCGAUCGGGUUGGUGGAAUAAUCUCCCCUUAUUCGAACGAUGUUCCCUCGAUUCAUCGCAGGUACUCCUCUUAGCCUCUUCAGGCGGAUUCCUCUGCUUUCGCAAUCGGAAUUCCGAUUAUCCUACUCUUAUCGUCUGUAAUCCCGUCACUAGCACCCAUAGGGUCCUCCCUGAGAUGCCCCAGAUUCGUUACAUCGACAUCGUGGGCAUGGUUGCUGAUAGGGUUUCUGGGUCUUACACGAUUCUGGUCACUGGAACCCCUGAACCUACCUGUAAUGAGAGUAUUACUGAGGUUUACGACUCGAGAACGCAGAGGUGGGAGCAACACUGUCGUUCCCAGCAAGAGUUCUUGCAGUUUUGGUACGAAGUUCACGCGAUUUGGCAUGAUGGGUUCUUCUAUUGCCUUGCGACUCCGCUCAAUACGUCCCAAGGUUACCGAUUGAUUGCUUAUGAUAUGGAGAAGAGGGAGUGGAUCGAUUUGAAUGUGAAAAUGCCUUCUGGCGAUCUACGGUGCCCAUCGUUGCUAAUCUGUCAGGGUAAGUUGCUGUUGGCUGGAAAGAUUGUGGAAGAUUAUCUGAUUAGGAGUAUCUGUAUAUGGGAGCUUGAUAAUUUGAAAUGGGUCAAGGUUGUGGAGAUGCCUGAUGAGGUGUUGAAGAAGAUACAUUCACCUCAUUCGGUGUUGAUACAGUGCCAGGGAUAUGGGGAUCUUCUGUGCUUUAGUACGCACCGAGGAUGGCAGUCUAUAAUCUAUGAUUUGUCGAAGCGUACUUGGAAUUGGCUGCCGGAGAAUGACGUGAGCAAGUCGCAGGCAAUGGGACGGAAUAACCUUGUUGGGUUGCCGUACGAGCCUAGUUUGUGUGCAAGAGUCUAAAUUGUUUGGCUGGAAGGAAAUGGAUUGGUACUUGCAUUGGAUUGGUUGGUGCAUCUCAAGCUGACCUCCUUUUUUAAUAUCACUCAUGGCUGUUGACAUGAAAUUCUUGCUAACUAUCAAGAUCACCUGAAUCUAUGUGAAAUGUUGACAUCUUUUCCGUGCUUUCUUUGAUCGAUCCUUUGCUAGCUUGGAAACUGCUCAUAUAACAGUCAUUGUCCUGUAUAAAAUUGAAAAUUUUCUUACAUGUGAUUGUUAUGCUUCAUGUUUAUCAUAUAUGACCUUAUGAUGGUUGUUAUUUCACUCAGUCAAUUGAUGAUAGAGGUUCCUGGAAGGUUUCAAUAGACACCAAUUCUGUGGGCUUUAAUGAGGUCUUCAGAAAGUCAGAGCAACCGUUGAUUGUGGAGAGCUUGAGGGGUGAUUGAAAUACAUUCUGUUUCCUCUCAUGUCUUCUUCUUAUAUUCUGAUUUAGUGGGAUUCCCUGAUUCUUUGAUGAUUUGACUGAAAUUUGGAGGUAUAUGUGAUGUUUGUAGAGUUUGUAACUCUGAGCUUAAAAUUUGCUUUCUUUAGUUUGAUGCUGUUUCAGUCGCAAAACUGGGAUAGCUUUUAGUCAUAAUCUGUGUGUUCCACUUUUCUGCUCUAAUCUCUGAUCUAUGAUCCCAAAUUAGAUUUAAUAAGAUAAAUGAUCUGUCUGAUGAAUCUCCACCCUUGAUUUAUCUGCAUAGUAAUGUUGUCUGCCUGUGGGGAGGCAAGUUCUCUUCUGUAGUCUAUUGUAUUAGUGGUCAUAAGACAAAUCAAUCUUUGGCUCCAUGGAUAUCUUUUAGCUCCGGGUGGAGCGCUUGGAAUUUUGAGCCCGUGGAUAACUGUCUGACAUGAGAUGUGAUUCUCAUUUGUAUGUGUCUAUGAUCUUGUCAUAGACGUGGAUUGGUGUGAUUUAUCCAAUUCACAGUGGUGUCCACAUUCAAAGCCAGCAUCCAGUGAAGAACUUCGUUUGGAUUGCGACUCUUAACCCUUGCAUGAGGCCUGAAGUGAGGUAUAUCUCUUGGCUUCUGGUUUGGCUGAGAGUGCUGUUGUGGGUAUUGGAUGGUUCAUAAAAGAUAUGGCAGGUCAUGGAGAUUCUUACUUUUCCAACAGACUCAUGCACUUGCUUUGGCUUUUGUUCAUUUUGGUCAAUUAGAGCUGAUGACUUAGCCAAGCAGGGAUUUUACAGAGGGGUUCUUUGGAUGGUUUUAAGUCACAUCAAAGGUUGUUGCUGAUAACAAAUGUUGGUCAGUCCUAUACUCCUAUCAGUGUUUAGAUGCUGGAGACUACCUUCUUCUUUUUUUUUUUUUUUUUUUUUUCGUGCUUGUGACAUAACUCAAUAUAAUACUACAAACAUAUCCUCCACUAUUAAUCUCAGUAUUGGUGGCACCUCCUUCCUACCAUAUGUGAGUAGCUUUAUCCUUUCUAUAUGCUUCAUCAUGGAUUCCCUUCUGGGCCUAUUAAGAAUAAUCUUCAUGAUUUUCUUUUUCUAAUGUCCGCAACUUCUAUUUGGUUAAGGUUCAGAAAAAUUUUCCCUGGACACACUAUCUCUUUGCUUUUUUUUGUUUUCAAACUUUGUUAAAGAGUAUACCAUGGGAGUACAAUAUUGUAGGUGUAGCUAACCAGGAUAUGGGGAGUGUUCCUAUCAUGGUAUAUUUUCUUUUCUUUUAUGUUUUUGGUUAUUUAUGGGUUUUAGAUCUAGAUUUGUACCACUUGGAUUCUGAUUUGUAUUAGUUAACAACAAGGCUAUAUAUACAGGUUGAGAAAACCACGAUAGAUAUACUAAAUCUAUUGUGGUUCAGCUCUUUCUUCUUCCUCCUUUGUUUCUUCUUCUUCUUCUUUCCUCCUCUUCUUCAAGCUCUUGUGCAGAUUGAUUCUUAGUUUCUUCAUUUUCACAUGGUUUGGUAGUUCAUUCAAGGACUGCUAUUUUUGGUUGCAACAACCUAUGCUGCCUUCAAAGUACCUACAGCCCUAGUUGAUAAAUUGUCUGUCAGGUCUGUCAAGUGUAUUUUUUUUUCAGUUCCUUCUCAGAAAUGGUGCAAGUGUUAUGAUCCUUUUAUUCAUUGGCAGUUUGUUAGUGCCAAUGUUACAUUUUUUAGAAUACUUCAUAUUGUUCCCUCCCUGCUCCUAUUUCUACUUCAAAUGCAGAUACUGAUUGUGCCCCUUAUUCCUAUACUUGUUCCCUCUGAUGAUGUUCUUGCCACUACUAAUCUUGCGCCCGUGCAAGUUUAUCUUCAUCGUAAGAAGGCAGUGCAGUCUACUUCAGCAGUCUUUGCUCAGCCCACUAUAUAGUCUAAUCCUGGUCUAAGGUUCCUCCUAUCUUUUCGUCUCCUAUUGACUUACUGGUUGUUCUUUGCUCUAAAAAAAUCCAUGAUCGCUUACGUUUAGAAAAUUAUGUUUCUAUAUCUUACCUUCCAUCUCCGCUAUGUAAUUUUGCUUUUUCUAUGUCUACUAACUCCAUUCCGAAAAAUUAUCACGAGGCUUUAUCUCAUCCUGGGUGAAAAGAGGCUAUGGAAACAGAAAUGGAUGGCUUUCUUUCUCAUUAGAGAUGGACUCUUAUGGAUUUGCCUCCAGGUAAAGAUCUUGUACAAUCUCAUAUGGCUCAAUUGAACGACUCACGCCCCAGUUGGUUGAAGGGUUAUACACAUACAUAUGCUGUGGAUUAUUUGAAAUAUUCUCCUAUGUUGCUCACCUUAAUUGUCUGUGUUCUAAAAUCUGCUGUAGUAAUUUAGACUGGCCUCUUUAUUGUGCACUGGGUAGGCCUUUUUUUUUUCUUGUCACGUGGAGAAGUAAGAACCAAAAGAUUGUGGCUAGAUCUGAUGCUGAAGCUGAGUAUGGGCUAUGACUCAUGCUACAACUGAAUUAAUUUGGUUGAAGUCAUUACUUCAAGAGUUGAUUUUCCCGGUUACUAAAUCGAUGAAGAUGUUUUAUGACAAUCAAGCUGCUAUAUAUACACAUUUCCAGCAACGGUGUUUCAUGAAAGGACCAAACACGAUCAUUUUGUGCAAAUUGCUGUUAUGAGGAAAUUAAUUUUUACUCCAUUUGUUUCUUCUGCAAAUCAGCUGAGUGAUAUGUUUACCAAGCAUCUGUACCUUCCAGAAUGAUUGGUCCAAGCUGGGCAUGGGUGACUUAUAUGCUCCAGCUUGAGGGGGAGUGUUGAAGAGUGUACCAUGGAGGUUCAAUAUUUAUGUACCAUGGGCGUACAACAUUGUAGGUGUAGCUAACCAUGAUAGGGGGAGUGUCCUUAUCGUGGUGUCUUUUCUUCCAUUUUUAUUUUUUGGUUAUUUAUGAGUUUUAGAUCUAGACAUGUAUCAAUCCUACUUAGAUUCUGAUUUGCAUUAAUUAAUGGCAAGGUUAUAUAUCUAUAUAUAUAUAUAUAUAUACAGGUUGAGAGGGCCAUAAUUGAUAUACUGAAUCUUCACGGUUCAGCUCUUUCUUCUUCUUGCUUUGCGUCUUCUUCUUCUCUCCUCUCCUUCAAGCUCUUGUGCAGAUUGGCUGUUAGUUUCUUCAUAACUUGUUAGUUAGAAGGGACUUACUUCUUACUUUCAUUUUUUCCAUCAACUAGGAGGGAGAGGCUGAACAGGAUAUUGUCCACAAAAUUGGAGCAUGAAAAAGCUGAUAGAAGUGGAGAGGUACUUCUGAAGUUCUGUGUGAUUUACUCAUGCCUUGCUUUCUGGUAGAGAAUGAGUGGAAGAGGCUGUGCUGAUGAUGUUAGAAUGAAUGAGUGGUUAGACUAGAAAAGAGGGAGUGUAGUUGUUGGUCUUCGGCAAAGCACCAAAUAGUUGAUAAUAAUGUGAGUAAUUUGACUGAUGGCCUGGUUAUUUGCAAAUUGCAAGGAAGAUCGAUUGCCUUGCUAGUGAUGAGUGAGUUGGCAUAAGUUGAAGGCUUAAAAAGGAUUAGGCGAAGGCCUGAAUGGAUGCAGAUCAAGGUAGUGAGAGAAAAAUGAUUUUGGGAAGAUUUGGCCCAAGAUAGGGGAAUACCAAGCAAGAUCCAUAUAAGUGAUCUGAAGGCAAUACAAAACAAUAUUAACACAAGCGACUCCUUAACUUGCUUUGGAUAAUCUAGUUGACUUAAGUUGAACUAAGCGUAUUUAAAUCAUGAAAUCAACUCUUUUUUUAUUUGUUUUUGAUAGUUUAUUUUUCAUUAUUUUUUUUACUUAUAUAUAUAUAUAUAUAUAGGGAAAAGGCCAAGUAUGCUAGCAGGUUACCUUGGAAUUAGGCAUGCUAGCAUCUGUUAGCGCUUAGAUGAAACAUAAGAAAUCUCAUCCGUUGGUAACAGUUGUCUUAUAUGAUCUGCCCAAUACCGCCACUCUACGGUCUUUCUUCUUUUUCAACCUUUCCCCUUCCUCUCAGUCUCUAGUUCUGCCUCCCUUCCAAAAGAAUUGUCGAUCCCUGCUGCCUCUCUCUCUCUCUCUACCCUACAAAGCAUUUUCUCCCAAAUCUGAAAUAGAAGAAAGGACAAAGUUUUCCAAAUUGUAGAGCACUAGAGCUGUACCUUAGGAGAUAACCCGUCCCCGAACAGAAGACAAAAGCUUCUUGGUGGACACAGACGGGUAUAUAAUGGUAUCUUCUCUGGCUUACCUCAACGUUCCGCCCUCGUCGAGAGCCAAUUAGAUCCAUCGUCAGACCCCACAAUCUUCAUGUGACGAGAAUUUCAGAACAGAUCUCCAUUUCAACUUUAAAACCCCAUUUGAACUUAGGCAGCUCCAUUCUCACAUACUCUGUUCUUCCUCUGUCUUUGGUUUUGCCUCCUUUCCAAAAAAAUUGUCGAUCCCUGCUGCCUCUCUCUAUCUCUCUCUUCCUCUUCUACAAAGCAUUUCUCCCAAAUCUGCACUUCCUAUUUCUUUCUCCAUUCAAUUCCUUCUUCCUCAUGCACACACAAAUAUAAAGAGGGAAAAAAGGGGAGAGAGAUAGAGAGAGAAACCGAAAGCGAGAUUAUCGUGAAGAUCAACAAUUUGCUUUCCUUGAAUCUCGUUGAUAAGAGACAAGGAGGAGAAAGAAAAAGCGAAAAAUAAAAAAGAGAUAACAGAACAAAUUCUCUUGCCUAAGCUUCAACAUGUUUACUGAGAAUGAAAUAAAAAAAAAAAAGUUUAGAAAAAUAGGAAAAGCAACGUUAAGUGUAGGAGCAGGAUUGUAACUGAAGAAUAAGCACAUAAUAGAAAAUAGAGGAGGUGGGAUUGCAAGCAAGGUGAGGGUGCAGGUUUGCAAAAGAGAUUAACCCUCACCUUGGCUGGGAUGUUAAUUAGCAGAGGGAGGGAAGCAAAGCCUGGUUGUGGUCAGUCGAGGUAGAGGGAGUUGGGAUUUUGGUAAAAACAAAUGGUGAAGGUCGUGUUGCGAUGGCGAUGGCAGGGGCGGGGAUUUGUACAGAGACGAACAAGAAGGAGAAAGGUAGAAGAAGAAGAAGGAUUGUUGAACCGAGUGUUGGGAAGGGGUGGCAAGUUGUAUAGAGGCUAAAGAGGCGGAGCGGCGGGAGGAGGGAGAUCCAGUAGAGGGCGGUGAGAGGGAGAGGAUUCAGGUCAAGCAGGGAGGGAAAAAAAAAGUGGGGGGGGAGAAGGUGCAUUAGCGGUGGAUUGAAGGUUGGGACCUCUUCUCUCAAUCCAAUGGUUUUAUUUAAGGUGAUUGAAUCCUACGCUUAAAAUUCUGCUAGCACGUAAGAUUCCUAAGUAACCCGCUAGCAUACCUAUCACUCUCCCAUAUAUAUAUAUAUAUAUAUAUUGUUACAUGUAACUACCAAGGUUUAAAGUCUUGAUACUUUAUUGGUCCGAUAUGUACCGACCAGUCUUGUUGGUAGCAUUUUUUCUUUUCUGUUUCAACCCUUCGAUGUGCCUUUAGGCCUUCUGGUGUUAGAAUAGAUCCAUUCCCAAAAACUCAUACCAGACAGUGAUAGGUCAUCUGUAUAGUUCUGCAUUAGAAAACACUAACUGUGAGCAUUUCUCUCUCUCUCUCUCCCUCUCUCCCUCUUUUUCCGUGCCCUAAACUUAUGUGCUCAGUUGCUAUAGUCAUUCCUUUAUGUAGGAGCACUAGUUAUGGCAGGUUGGUUUUUGGACAGAAAUGUAUCUACUUGUGGUCUUUUCUAUCUUCAGACAAAAAAUUCCAAUCAGUUGAUCUCCAUUUUAUGGAAAAAUUUUUAUCCUACUGAAAUGGAUUGAGUUCUUAUACAAUAUCUGCUGUCAAAAUACUUGAUAGAGAGUUACUCAAAGCACACAGGAUUGAAGCGAAAUGGUACACAUGUAUGAGGGAGUUUUUGAGCCCUAGAUCAAGCAGGUUUUGCUACCACAGUCAAAGGCAGGUAAAGCCGUGGUGCCUCGGGGGCAGAUCAAAUCAUGGAAAUUGCAGGCCCAUGAUUUUGCUAAUCACUUCUGCUUUUCAUGUUAAUGUUUCCUGGUAUAUCUCUUUGGUAAUUGAUUCUUCAAUAUUUAAUAAGAUCAGAUACUUGCUGUCUGGUUUAAAAUGUGUUCAUAUCUCAGCCCUUUAGAGACCUGCUUUUGCUUCUUAGUAUAAUAAGAUCUUCUCAUGGAA